rnacentral:rRNA from 1 species
GACGAACGCUGGCGGCGUGCUUAACACAUGCAAGUCGAACGGAAAGGCCCUGCUUUUGUGGGGUGCUCGAGUGGCGAACGGGUGAGUAACACGUGAGUAACCUGCCCUUGACUUUGGGAUAACUUCAGGAAACUGGGGCUAAUACCGGAUAGGAGCUCCUGCUGCAUGGUGGGGGUUGGAAAGUUUCGGCGGUUGGGGAUGGACUCGCGGCUUAUCAGCUUGUUGGUGGGGUAGUGGCUUACCAAGGCUUUGACGGGUAGCCGGCCUGAGAGGGUGGCCGGCGACAAUGGGACUGAGAUAGGGCGCAGAAUGCUACGGGAGGCAGCAGUGGGGAAUAUUGCGGAGUAGGCGGAAGCCUGAUGCAGCAACGCCGGGUGCGGGAUGACGGCCUUCGAGGUGUAAACCGCUUUCGACUGUGACGAAGAGUGAGUGACGGUAAUGGGUAAAGAAGCACCGGCUAACUACGUG